GUUAAACCUCAAAGUGUGUCCUGGGGGAGAGGGCUCCCAGCCAGAGGUACGUCCAUCAGUUUGAAAACUGUAUUUAUGCCAUUACUUCCAAUAAAUAGUAUUUGAAUAACAUCACUAUUUUAAUAUAAUUAUACAAUGAUUUGGAGCUUUAUUCCAUUCAGUUGAUUGUAUUAUUUAUAUCUACAAACAGAGGCUUUGACAGGUGAUUGGUUUAUUUAUUUCUCAAGUUUCUUAUUUAAAUUAUUUCUCGUUUUUUUAAGCUGUUGGUGUUGGAGUAAAACCUGGAGGUCAGUGGUUUUCUAAGCCGACACCAAUCUAAUGUUACCUAAUGAGAGAUGAGUUCCACCACCAACUCCUCCUUUCCCUCUUCACAGUGACAGGAGCUCUUGGUGCACUGGGCAGUCGAUACGGCAGCAAAGCCAUGAAGACUGGAAGUACGUUACGCGUCUGAGAACUGCAUGCUCAAAUAUUACCUCUGAUUAAGCUGUAUUUGAAUUUGCUUUUCUUGAACGCAGUUGGCCGUUACCCAGCGGCUCACCUUGGUGUUGGUAAGUUGCCUAAUAGAGGCUUCUUUCUAAUACAAAUAAUUGCUUCAGCUGUAUUACAAAGUAAAAUAUAACUGUGAUGCCUUUUAGGCGGCUACAGAGGACUUGGAUUAGGAGGUAGAGCUGGUCUGAGGCAGGGGACCCCAGGAGCCUAUGGUGCCAGUCUGGGCACAGGAAUGGCUCUGGGGGCUGGACUGAGCAAUGGGCUGGGCCUGGGUCAGGCAGGAAAACGCGGUGAGAGACAUAAAGGCCCUAAUACGUUAUAUAUAGAUGCUUGUAACAAAUCAACAGGCUGCGAACGCAGUGUUUAUGUGAACUAAUGUCAUGUUUGGAAGUCUUUUUGCACGCUCAGCAGAACGGGUCACCAUUUACACAAACAGUGUCAUGAUCAAACCUUAAAUAAGGUCUGUUUUGUGUCUUUUUAGUCUAUGGAGCUGGACUUGGCUCUUUACCUGGAUACGGGCCGUUCGCUGGCAUUGGAUAUCCUGGAGCCAGACCCGGUUACAUUGGGGGAGCAGGGAGCUACCUGGGUGCGGCCUUGGGCGCUGGGGGCUACGGAACAGGUAACUGGGCAUUACAACACGAGAAAGCUGCUGAUUAGCAGAUGCAGAUACAGAUGCAGAUGCAGUACAUUUAACUCCCGUCCACAGGUUUGGGACAGGGAGCGUACCUGGGCGGUGCAGCUGGGAAGCUGGGAGCUGCCGCGGCGCUCGGACAGGGAGGCUAUCCCCAAGGUGCUGCAGGGAUUUCAAACGGUGCGUGCGUCCUCUGCUCGCUGUGGAUUCUAAAUUUCCGAUCCUUCUACACUGGUGUUCGAUUUCACUUUGAGUGUGACUGGAGGUCGUUGACUCCUACUUUGCCUUGUAAACGAAUCAUUUGAUUUCAUCUGCACUUUGCAUGAAAUGCCUGAGAAUAAGUUGCUUUAAAUCUGUUAAGCUGAAUAAAUGAGGGCGCUUUUUUGUGGCCA
rnacentral:lncRNA from 1 species